UUGUAGAUCUUCUUCACAAAUCUGCACUACCUUUUUACCAUCUCUCAAAGUAGGAGGAACAAAUGAUAAAGGCUUACCCAUUUGCACAUCUGUGUUGCCUCUGACUACUUCCGCCAUUGUAGGUUUUGGGUUUUCUGUGUCAAUAGCUUCAAAAACCUCUGGUACUGCAUUUUUUGGAUCCAUAACUUCUGAAAACUGCAAUC
rnacentral:lncRNA from 1 species